rnacentral:rRNA from 1 species
GACGAACGCUGGCGGCGUGCUUAACACAUGCAAGUCGAACGGAAAGGCCCUGCUUUUGUGGGGUGCUCGAGUGGCGAACGGGUGAGUAACACGUGAGUAACCUGCCCUUGACUUUGGGAUAACUUCAGGAAACUGGGGCUAAUACCGGAUAGGAGCUCCUGCUGCAUGGUGGGGGUUGGAAAGUUUCGGUGGUUGGGGAUGGUCUCGCGGCUUAUCAGCUUGGUGGUGGGGUAGUGGCUUAACAAGGCUUUGACGGGUAGCCGGCCUGAGAGGGUGACCGGCAACAUUGGGACUGAGAUACGGCCCAGACUACGACGGGAGGCAGCAGGGGGGAAUAUUGAACGAUGGGAGGAAGGCUGAUGCGACAACGCCGCGUGGAGGAUGGCGGUCUUCGGGUUGUAAACCGCUUUCGCCUGUGACGAAGCGUGGGUGACGGUAAUGGGUAAAGAAGCACCGGCUAACUACGUG